rnacentral:rRNA from 2 species
GACAGAGGGUGCAAACGUUGUUCGGAAUGACUGGGCGUAAAGCGCGUGUAGGCGGCUCGGCAAGUCGGGUGUGAAAGCCCUGGGCUCAACCCAGGAAGUGCACUCGAAACUGCCGGGCUGGAGUCCCGGAGAGGAAGGCGGAAUUCUCGGUGUAGAGGUGAAAUUCGUAGAUAUCGAGAGGAACACCGGUGGCGAAGGCGGCCUUCUGGACGGCGACUGACGCUGAGACGCGAAAGCGUGGGGAGCAAACAGG